rnacentral:lncRNA from 1 species
ACCCAGUCUUACGUAUCCUUGACAUACCUUAUUUAGAGGAGGAAUAAUGAUGCUACAAAACCACAAUUUAACUACUCAGAACUCUUAACUUGGGCGAUCAAAUGAUCGACAUUCAAUAUUACAGUUAGCAAGCUAAUAGUGAACAUGUUCGCGCUAGUCACAAUCCAGACAAAUACAUCGUAUCAUAUACCGACAGAGCUCUCCUAUAGCCUACAUAAUCGCCGACCAAAAUGGAACCACUGACAUCUCUAUUGUAGCCUACUAACACGGCUACACAGCACAGCAGACUAUUUCACUAAUAGACAUUGAGCAGUGAAACAACCCCCCAAAAAUAAGCGGCAGUAGCAGUAGUCCCCUCUUCCUCAGUCAGUUUCGAAUGAGAAGCACAGUGGUUAAUGUAUCGAAAGAAAAAUCGUUUUGGGGGAAAACGAACAGGGGCUGUUUCUUCAAGACAACCCUGUUCUCUUCAGCAGUAGCCUGGGAAUCACGGACCUUUUUCAAAACGGGAAAAGACACCAUUGGCUGGCAAACUAAACCAUUUUUCUUGAUAUGGCGCGAGCUAGGAUCGACACCCUUAACGAAGCGAACGGAGGCUGCACAGCGCAUGCGUGGACCCGGACGGGUCUGUCUAAACAGGCAGGGGACGCGAUUCACGAAAGGAAAGAAAAGACCAUCUCCAGUGUUUCAGUCCAGCAAGCGGCGCCAGACACCAACAUUAGAUUUGCGAAGAUAACGGAGGGUCAACGUUAUUAGAUCGUCUGUUUGCCACUGGAUGUCAGUAAAGGUCUCUGCUUAAGCGAGGAAGGUGUCACCCAACCAUUCCUAAUUCCCGCUGCAACAUAAUACCACUGCUAACAUGGACAUGGACAAAUCUAUUGAGAACUCGAUGCGACAGCCUUCCAGAAUGUGCACGUUAACGCUCCGUCUUGUCUCCGCCUGUCCUACAAGUGUUCUGAAUGAUGGACUGAACAUGUUGCAAUUUAAUAGACUAAAAUAGAUGUUAAGUAACACAGAAUUUCUGUUUUGUGACUAAAAUACAACCGCAACACCUUCUGAUUGUGUUACGGCACAGUGGCACAUUGUAUUCCAUUUCAGGUGAUUAGAAAUAUAAGGGACAAUUGCAAUACUCAAAUCAAACACUGUUAAUGAACGCAUUUCCUUUAGUCAGUGGUAAAGCUUCUGAUUAAGCGGUAUGUUGCCCUCAUCUGCAACCAGACACAGGCACGGGCAGCAAUCCAAUCAGGGCCCUCCAUCACCCGAUGUCCUCCUCCCCUCCCUACCUCCCUCCUCCCCUCCUUACCUCCUUCCAUCUCUCCAGGCAUCAAUGCCAUUGACUUCUCCUUACUUCUCUUCUUCCUGGUGUGCCUAUAACUUCCAAAGAUAACCAAACAAAUCAGGGAAGUAGAAAUGCAUGUUGUUAUAACCAGGGAGGUAGACAAACAUUUCGUUAUAACCAGGAACGUAAAUAUAUAUGUUUUUAUAAUCAAGGAGGUAGAUUUAAAUGUUGUUAUAACCAGGGAGGUAUAUUCAUGAUCUUAUUACCGGGGGGAAGAUACAUGUUGUUAUAACCUGGAGAAGAUACAUGCUGUUGUUGUAAUGGUAUAACCAGGGGAUUAGACGUAAAUGUUGUUAUAACCAGAGAUGCAGAUACAUGUUGUUAUAACCAAAGAGGCAGAUACAUGUUGUUAUAACCAGGGAGGUAGACCUAUAUGUUAUUAUAACCAGGGAGGUAGACGUACAUUUUUGUUAUAACCAGGAAGGUAGAUAUGUAUGUUUUUAUAAUCAAGGAGGUAGAUUUAAAUGUUGUUAUAACCAGGGAGGUAUAUUCAUGAUUUCAUAACCAGGGGGGAAGAUACAUGUUGUAAUAGCCAGGGGAAGAUACAUGUUGUUAUAACCAGGGAGGUAGACCUAUAUGUUGUUAUAACCAGGAAGGUAGACAUACAUUUCGUUAUAACUAGUGAGGUAGACUUAAAUAUAAUUAUAACCAAGGAGGUUGUUAUAAACAGGUCGGCUGAUGCAUGUUGUAUAAACAGGGAGGUGGACAUACAUGUUGUUAUAACCAGGGAGGUAGCAGGUAUAUGGUGUUAAAAAUAGGGAGGUAUAUACAUGUUGUUAUAGCCAAGGAGGUAGAUGUACAUUGUUAUAACCAGGGAAGCAGAUACAUUUUGUUAUAACCCGGGAGGUGGAUAUGCUUGUUGUUAUGAGCAGGGAGGUAGAUACAUGUUGUUAUUACCAGGUAGGUAGAUACAUGUUGUUAUUACCAGGGAGGUGGAUAUGCUUGUUGUUAUGAGCAGGGAAGCAGAUACAUGUUGUUAUAACCAGGGAGGUGGAUAUGCUUGUUGUUAUGAGCAGGGAGGUAGAUACAUGUUGUUAUAACCAGGUAGGUAGAUACAUGUUGUUAUUACCAGGGAGGUGGAUAUGCUUGUUGUUAUGAGCAGGGAAGCAGAUACAUGUUGUUAUAACCAGGGAGGUGGAUAUGCUUGUUGUUAUGAGCAGGGAGGUAGAUACAUGUUGUUAUAACCAGGGAGGUCGAAAUACAUGUUUUUAUAACCAAGGAGCUAGAUACAUGUUGUUAUUACCAGGGAGGCAGAAACAUGUUGUUAUAACCAGGUAGACAGACACAUGUUGUUAUAACCAGGGAGGUAGAUACAUGUUGUUAUUACCAGGGAGGCAGACACAUGUUGUUAUUACUAGGGAGGCAGACACAUGUUGUUAUAACCAGGAAGGGUAAAUAUACAUUUUCGUUAUAACCAGGGAGGAAGAUAUGCAUUUUGUUAUAACCAGGGAGGAAGACAUACAUGUUUUAAUAACCUGGGAGGAAGAUACAUGUUGUUUCAGCCAGGGAGGUAGACAUACAUUUUGUUAUAACCAGGGAGGCAGAUUUCCCUUUUACUAUUUUACUAUUUCACUUCUUAUAGUCUAGGCCAUCUUUAUGUAGAGCAACACCUCUUUUUUUCAGAGUUCUUUGCGAUGAGGUGCCAUGUUGAACUUCCAGUGGCCAGUAUGAGGGAGUAUGACAGCGAUGACACCAAAUCUAACACAUCUGCUCUCCAUUCACACCUGAGACCUUGUUACACUAAGAAGUCACAUGACACCGGGGAGGGAAAAUGGCUAAUUGGGCCCAAUUUGGACAUUUUCACUUAGAGGUGUACUCACUUUUGUUGCCAGCGGUUUACACAUUAAUGGAUGCAUGUUGUGUUAUUUUGAGGGGACAGCAAAUUUACACUGUUAUACAAGCUGUACACUCACUACUUUACAUUGUAGCAAAGUGUCAUUUCUUCAGUGUUGUCACAUGAAAUGAUAUAAUCAAAUAUUUACAAAUGUGAGGGGGGUACUCACUUUUGUGAGAUACUGUACAUGUUCAUAUAUCUAGGGGGCAGAUAUAUGUUGUUGUAAACAGGGAGGCAGAUAUGCAUGUUGUUAUAACCAGGGAGGUAGACAUACAUUUCAUUAUAACCAGGGAGGAAGACAUACAUUUUGUUAUAACCAGGGAGGAAGACAUACAUUUUGUUAUAACCAGGGAGGAAGACAUACAUUUCUUUAUUAUCAUGAAUACAUGUACAAAGGAAGUGAAUCCAAGCGCAGAGCGCUAUAAUAUUUAAUACAAUCUCGUUUCCAGAAAAGUUGGGACACUGUAAAGAAAGAUUUUAAGAAAAAUGUAAAGAAAAACAGAAUGCAGGGAUGUGCAAAUCAUUUAAAACCUAUAUUCAUUAGAAAAUAGUACAAAGACAACAUAUCAAAUGUUCAAAUUGGGAAGUGUUAUGAUUUCUUGAAAAAUAUGCACGCACUUUGAAUUUGAUGCCAGCAACACGUUUCAGGAAAGCUGGGACAGGGGC